rnacentral:rRNA from 1 species
UACGUAGGGUGCGAGCGUUGUCCGGAAUUAUUGGGCGUAAAGAGCGUGUAGGCGGUUCGGUAAGUCUGCCGUGAAAACCUGGGGCUCAACCCCGGGCGUGCGGUGGAUACUGCCGGGCUAGAGGUAGGUAGGGGAGAUCGGAAUUCCUGGUGUAGCGGUGAAAUGCGCAGAUAUCAGGAGGAACACCGGUGGCGAAGGCGGAUCUCUGGGCCUUACCUGACGCUCAGGCGCGAAAGCUAGGGGAGCGAACAGG